GGAAGGGGGGAGGGAGGGACGUGGGAUAAUGGGACCCCCAAAUCGAGUCCAGCAGGGGGGCUGCCGUAAGGGGACGGAAAUCCUGGUCACCUUGAUUCUCUGGCUCUACCCUGUAUAGGUCCCAAGUGAUCGCGCCAGACCCUGUAGACAGGUACCACUUUAAAAAUCAAAAUAAGGAUUAACCCCCCUCCCCAGUAAAGAAUGACUCUGUUCUGCUUUGAUGCCGAGGGCAGAUCCAAAGAACGCUUCUUGGUUUUGUAUCAGAGAUUGAACUCAGGAGCACUUGACCCCUGAGCCACACCCCAGCCCUGUUUUGUGUUUUAUUUAGAGACAGGGUCUCGCUGAGUGGCUCAGCGCCUCACCAUUGCUGAGGCUGGCCUUGAACUCUCCAUCCUCCUGCCUCAGCCUCCUGAGCUGCUGGGAUUAUAGGCGUGGGCCACCGUGUCCAGCAAAAAGAGCUCUUGAGCCGGCCGAUGCUCUCUGCUUGAACGUCCUGUUCAGCUUUGACCCACGGGAGAAACAGGAGCAUCCCGGGGAACCUGAUUCAUUGUCCGACACAACUGCAUCCGGCCUUCAUUUUAGGAACACAGACUAAAGGAAUGCUGUGGAGAGCAGAGAAACUUGUGGAAUUACGCGGCUACCGUUCACUUGUCUGCCGUCACAUGGGAAAUCCUGUGGCCUUUAUUUCCCCGAUGGCAGGAGUUGUAAGGGCCCUGGGCCUUCCUGGCCUGCGGUGGUCUCUGCCAGGGUUCCCAGGGCAGGUCUCCACGGAGCCCCCGGGUGAGGAGCAGGCUGGGGACGGCCUCGGCCCCACCCCUCACUUCCCCAGAGCUGCUCCACUUUUAUCUGCUUUGGGUUUUGAGGCUCUGGGCUAGCCUUCCUCGUAAUAAUAGAUCCUGUCACUCAAAACCAUUUUUAGACUCCUGAUGGCUCCAUGGUCUAGGUCACCGUCUUUGAAGGGGACAGUCACGGGCUCUGGGCAUUAUUGCCUGAGACGCUCUGAAAACUACAGGCUCCUGUGUCCCACCCACAAUUCCACUGCCCCAGAUACUUUGGAAUCUGUAGUUUUCCCAUAUAAACCCCAAGUUGUGCCCUUCGAACUGAACAUUAAAAUUUGAAAAUCAUG